GAAUAAAAGUUUGAGGGUUUUUUUUAAUAGAAGUUUGAGAUUUUUUUUGAAUAGAAGUUCAAGAUUUUUCCGGAAUAGAAACUUGAGGAACUACUGAAUAGAAGUUCCGAAAAGUUGAAUAGAAGUUUGACCCUUCAGUGCCAUCGUAUUAUAUAUAUGUUGUACCGCGAAAGCUAGCGCAAACACAAGCCCAAGAAAGAGACUGUCAUUUUCAACCUCAGAGGUUUUCAUCUCAAAGAGCUCUGGGAACGAGAAUGAGAGACUGCAAACAUGAAGGCAAACAUAAAUUCGAUCAACGAAAAAUUUAUUCUUGCGUUUUAGUUUGUGUUUGCAGCAUGUUUUACGCAAUGUGAAUCGGAAAUCUCUUAUUGCGCCCCGCCGAAGGGGCGCACAUUUAGUGGACCGCGGGUAUAUAGUGUUUGUUGCGCCCCACCGAAGGGGCGCACAUUUAGUGGACCGCGGGUAUAUAGUGUUUGUGUUGUGUAUGGCAAAAAAAUUUUCCACUCUUUACUUCGCGGGGGAACUUUGGCUCGAACAUCCAACCUAGGUUUGAUAUAACACAACCUGUGUGUUUGGUACCAUCAAGACAAAAAUAACACUGAUCGAGCAAAACUUAUCUUGUCUCGGUUUCUUUGUUGUCUCUGAAGAUUUGACUGCCAUAAAAAAUAUUAAUCGAGAUUCUUUUGUUAUGUUAAUUUAAAGCUUUGUAAUAUUGUCUCGUUUAAUAUGCUUAAAUGUCACUGCAGCCCACGUGAAUUUAUCUUCAAGAAAAGGUUUGUUUUUCUUUGUCCAAGUUGUUUCGAAACUUGUUAACAAUCAUUUGUUAUGAAACCAUGCACCAUCAGCAGUUUCGAAAAAUCUUCAACGAGAGAAAUUUUUAAGGAUUUUAUUGGUAACUUAACAGAGUAAUAAUUCAUUGAAAUUGAAAUUGUUCAGAAGUUAUUAUAUAUAUUCGAAUCGUGAAGUUCAUACAUAGCAAUCCUGCAUCCUGGAAUUUUCGAGAUCAGUUAUAAAAAAAUCCAGUUAAAGUUUUAACUAUUGUUUUAGAAUAUAUACUAUAUAUAUGUAAAAAAAAAAUUAUUUUUUAUUUAUCAAGUUGUAUUUUACGCAAUAAUAAUUGAGAAUUAGGAUA